UUUGGCGCCAUAUUGUUACGGACUGGUUGUCUUCCCUGGGGCCGCGCCGGCUGGCUCAUCGGUACUCAGGUGGAGUUCCAUCCCUGGCCCGCAGUCCGCACAAUCGAUAAUUUCACCGAUAUUAACAGCUGUUUAUAAGAGAUGAAACGCAUCACUAACAAAACAAAACAGCUGCCGCGCAAUUGAAAAUUGCGCAAAACAAAAGGAAAUCCAAAACAAACUAUUGACGACGGGCCACGCUUGGACCCCGGCGUACCCACCCUGCCUGAGAUGGCUACAUCGGCGACAUCUCCCUUAGCGUUGGCCACUAUAUCAGUGGCUGCUCCUCAUCCGGCGUAGUGCUGUGGAAUUCCCCUCCCUUCCAUGCUGAGAAACUUACACAACCAUGUUCAUCGUAUAAUAUUAAUAGAUAUUCGAAUUUCAUUACAGCUAUACGGAACAGUAUUCGAAGCAAAAGCAAAUAAAACAAACAAGGCGGAACAACAAAGAAAUAAUAACGGAGUAGGGACAAUUAUAUAUGGUAUGUAAAGAGAUCACAGAUAGGUAUAUUUAUGUAUGUAUGUAUACGCAUAUUUGGGUGUAUGUAUGUAUGCUUGAUUCGCUUAAAUGUCUACCUUGACCUGCCUAAGAGCUCUUGAGGUUUGGUGAAGGGGCGAUAGGUGAUGAUAUAGUCGAUAUAUGUAUAUA